rnacentral:rRNA from 1 species
AGCAGCCGCCGCGGUAAUACAGAGGGUGCAAGCGUUAAUCGGAAUUACUGGGCGUAAAGCGCGCGUAGGUGGUUUGUUAAGUUGGAUGUGAAAUCCCCGGGCUCAACCUGGGAACUGCAUCCAAAACUGGCAAGCUAGAGUAUGGUAGAGGGUGGUGGAAUUUCCUGUGUAGCGGUGAAAUGCGUAGAUAUAGGAAGGAACACCAGUGGCGAAGGCGACCACCUGGACUGAUACUGACACUGAGGUGCGAAAGCGUGGGGAGCAAACAGGAUUAGAUACCCCUGUAGUCCCUGUCUCUUAUAC